rnacentral:rRNA from 1 species
AACGAACGCUGGCGGCAGGCUUAACACAUGCAAGUCGAACGCACCGCAAGGUGAGUGGCAGACGGGUGAGUAACACGUGGGGAUCUGCCCAAUGGUACGGAAUAGCUCCGGGAAACUGGAAUUAAUACCGUAUGAGCCCGCAAGGGGAAAGAUUUAUCGCCAUUGGAUGAACCCGCGUCGGAUUAGCUAGUUGGUGUGGUAAAGGCGCACCAAGGCGACGAUCCGUAGCUGGUCUGAGAGGAUGAUCAGCCACACUGGGACCGAGACACGGCCCAGACUCCUACGGGAGGCAGCAGUGGGGAAUAUUGGACAAUGGGCGCGAGCCUGAUCCAGCCAUGCCGCGUGAGUGAUGAAGGCCUAGGGGUUGUAAAGCUCUUUCGCCGACGAAGAUAAUGACGGUAGUCGGAGAAGAAGCCCCGGCUAACUUCGUGCCAGCCGCCGCGGUAAUAC